AGACCUCGAAUUACUACUAGACAUGCAUUUGCAAAUGUUUCCAUUUUCAUUAACUGUAAGUGUUACUUUUUUUAGAAGUAACAUUUACUUUUCCUGAACAAAAGUAUUACUUGAACAAAUAUUAAAGCGAAAACUAAAAGUGGUACUAAUCAUCACAGCUACAUAUUCAAAAACAUUUCAUAAUCAGCAUAAGAACUCCAAUUUAGUACCAAUUCAUACUAACAUCUAGUUAACCAAAUCAACAUAAGUAUAUUUACUUUUAAUUAGUAUAAAUUAUACAUUUGUAGACAAUAAUGUCUACAACAUGUAGACAUGGCGUGAAUUCUUGCAGAUUUGCAACAAUGGAUUUCUCCUAACUAGCUUGAACUCGUUGGAGAGGAGCAAUCUGGUGGCCUCCGCCCAACUCACUUCCACAUCCAUUGCAGAACGUCAAAAUGAAUCUCCUAGCUAUUUAUAAACAAGAUUCACAUCAAAAGCUAUAAUUAAAUUGAAUCACUUGUGUUGUGUCUCAAUCCCAACAAAAUUCUGUAAAUAAAAAGGCAUCGACAAUAAUAAACCAAAAAUAAUGAGAAAAUAAUACCUCAUGAGCUUGAAUCAACCCCGCCAUUGUAAUAAUUUUAAAACUUUACUUUUUCAUAUUAAUAGUUACUUUAUAUUACAAUAAUAAUUACUACUAUUCGACAAAAUUAGCACAAACAAAAAUUAUGAAACACAAUAAUUCAGAAAUAAACAAAAAAUUAUCCCUCAAAAUCAAAGCAACACAACACUAGCCAAGAUCCUCAAAAUCCUUCAUUCAUGCUGUUGCUUUUCCUGCUUUCUCUAUAACUCUUUAUUUUUUUUGGCCCUCAAAAUCUUCUUGUAAUUUAGUGGGAGUUAAAUAAAAAAACACGAUUUUGAGUGAGUUUGGUUAAAUUAACAAACAAAUUACAUAUGCAUUGAAGCAAGAGUUUUGAAAAAUUAAAAAAGAGAAUGGUUAGAGAGGAUUGGAAACGUCAAAGGGUGACAAAUGGAAAUGGUGAAGAAAAUGAGGUGGUGGGAGAGGAGGAGGUCCAGGUGUUGAUAAAGCUCUGACCCUUCAUUCAUGCUGCUGCUUUUGCUGCUUUCUCAAUAAUUACUUUCAAUGGUGUUCCUUUCCACUCUUGCUCAGCAUGCAGGUGCUUUACUGCUUUCUUCUCUCUUGCUCUUGUUCCACAUGGAGCAAUAAAAAUUAGCACCGGUUAUCUUUUCGGACCAGAUCCAACGGCGGCUGUCCCUGAAAAUUCGUCCCCUUCAAUACCACUAGAGUAGACGAAGCCGCUGGCAGCGGCGAUGCGGAGGAUCUGGCCAUCCUUUUGAGGACGGAGGAGACGCAGCGGUAGGAGGCGGGGUCUGCGUCGACUUAGCUCGCCGGAGAUGGAGAAACAGCAACGUGAAGCGAGGAAGGAGAAGGGGAGGCGUGAAUGAUAAGGGAGGAAGAGAGAGAGAGAGAGAUCUGUGCUUCUUGAGAGAGAAGUAGAACCGAGAAACAGCGAAAAAUAGGAAUUAGGAAUUAGGUUUAAACUGGAAGGGGGCAGGCUUGGGCGGUGGGCCGGGUAUCUAAUCGGGCCGGGCGAACCCGUCGCAUGUUGUGCGACGGUCGCACGCAAUAAUUUGCG
rnacentral:lncRNA from 1 species